UACGUAGGGUGCAAGCGUUGUCCGGAAUUAUUGGGCGUAAAGAGCUCGUAGGCGGUCUGUCGCGUCGGAUGUGAAAACCCAGGGCUCAACCCUGGGCCUGCAUUCGAUACGGGCAGACUAGAGUGCGGUAGGGGAGACUGGAAUUCCUGGUGUAGCGGUGAAAUGCGCAGAUAUCAGGAGGAACACCGGUGGCGAAGGCGGGUCUCUGGGCCGUAACUGACGCUGAGGAGCGAAAGCGUGGGGAGCGAACAGG
rnacentral:rRNA from 1 species